rnacentral:misc_RNA from 1 species
CGCAAAUGUAUUAAAAUUUUUUUUAAGAUUUAUAAAUUAAUUAAGCAACGAGUCUACUGCCUUAAUAAAUGGUUCAGAGAUUGAACUAACACAAGCCAUUCAACCUUAAAUCGCUGAGACAGUGCCAUUUGUACACUUCGGCUGCCUCAUACUCAUCCUCAUCUCUCUCUCUCUCCUCUUACCAUCGACUCUUAAUCUUCAUCUCUAUGUCCUUGCUUCAAUCCUACUCUUCUCGAUCAAGAAAAUCCUAACUCAGUUUUUUUCUCUACGAUACCAACACAAAUCUCUCUAAUCCAAAUUAAAGAAAGAAAAAGAAAAUGUCAGGUGGGGUUGGUCCAACCUGCAAUGACAUAAGCCUUCCUAAGGAACAGGAACAAGAACAAAAGAUAGAGGAAGAUGUCUCUUCCCUGAAAAAAGGCCAAAACACUACUCCGUCCAAGAAAGCUGGUUUCUUGAGCUUCACCCAAUUAAAUGCCCUCUCUGUUAUCACCGUCCUCGCUGCAAGUGGCAUGGUAAGCCUUGAAGAUUUUGCUUUCGUUGUCUUUUCCAUCAUCUAUAUGUACUUCAUCUCCAAAGUUGCAUUCCCCUGUGCCAACCCAUCAAAGGACUCGUUAGUUUUUGAUCCAAAAAAUAAGAUUUUAGGACUCUACGUGUCUGUUGGUGCUAUUAUUGGCCUGUUUCUCCCCAUAGCAUAUAUCUUUGAAGGGAUCUUUGAGGGUGAUAAAGAGGGGAUCAAGGCAGCCGCACCACACGUCUUCCUCUUAGCGAGUCAAGUUUUCAUGGAAGGAGUGGCAUUUUCAGACAGAUUUGCAUUACCUGUAAGAGUUUUCGUGCCGGUGUUCUAUAAUUCGAGGAGGAUUUUUACCAUUGUGGAGUGGUUGAGGAAUGAGAUCUCCAAGGUAGAACAGGACUAUCGAGGAUCUCUCAGGAGGCUUCAUUUUGGGAGAGCUCUUGCUGUAGCUAACAUGGCCUUUUGGUGCUUCAAUCUUUUUGGCUUCUUGUUGCCUGUUUAUCUUCCAAAAGCCUUCAAGAAGUAUUACUCUGCGUAUGACGUUAAAGAUUAAAGUGUUUCUCAUGUAACCUGUAGUCCCGUAUAGCACAAAAAAAAUUAAUUCCUGUUGCAACUUCGUCGCGUCAUUCACUGCCGCUAUAAGUUUGAUAUCGUCGUUCGCACUAAAUUUACCCCAAAUUAUAUUCGAGUUGUGUCAUUUCUCAGAUGGCCAAAAGAUCUAAACUUGGGUCCUUAAGCACACUGGGAAGCCCUAAUGAUCUUGCAGAUGCAUUAUAACCUGAUUCUUAAUCAUUGUCUGACAAGGCAAAAGGCUUAGUGUAGCAUCACACCUCUCAUUUUCGUUUGUUAGACGAUCUUCACACCUGAACCAGCUGCUAAAAUAAUAAUCAAACGGAUCGUUUCUUGAGAUCUGAGACCGCAAUUCCACAUGGGAAAAGGCAAUUGCCUAUUUCCCUAAAGCAUACCCAGUUAUUGGGUAAUGGAAAACAAAAAUGGGAUCAGCAAUUUUCACUCUUCGAUUAGUAAUUUUCAUCAUAAAUAGGACUACGAAAUCACCUGUUACCACAUUGGCAUAAUCUGAUGAAUCUGCUGAUUAACGACAACUUGUUUCCAGCCAUAUAACACAACAGUUUCAUUCUAAUGUCUAAUCAACAAAGGUAGCUG